AUGAUGGAGGACAGGAGAGCCUGGAGGAAUGUUGUCCAUGGAGUCGUGAUGGGUCGGGCAUGACUUUGUGAUGAAACAGCAACCAUGGGAAAGGCUUCUGUCCUGGGACAGGAUGGACCACCUGGGAUGGGUUCUCCUGCCUUGAGAACCCUGCCCAGGUGGAGUGGACAACAUCAGGUGAGACAGACAAAUCCUCUCAGCUGAUCUGGGGAUAGAUGUAUGAUGCUCCUAAGGAGAGAGAGAAGAAAGCAGUAAGGUUUGUUUAAAAACCAAGUCAAGGAGGGACCGUAUUGCCAACUGGGGCAUCCCAGGACUGCAAAGGCUGGUAUCUGCUCCUCUAAAGGAUGGAAGGAGAAAUCCUAUGGCUCGUCAGUAGCAGUGGAGAGGCCAUGGGCUGGGUCGGAUUCCUGGAUCAGAGUGCUGUGACCUUGGAGUAGGGAGUGGGGGAACCACCCCACCGCCUCUUGCAGCCAACCCAAAAAGAACCACUCAGGCUUGCCUCUGGAGUCAGGAAAACACCCCAAAGACAGGAAGAAGCGGGUGUUUCCUGAGGGUGCACUCAGAUAUCGCACUUGAAAAGGUAAGUGAGCAAAUCUCAAAAGCCACUCCAGAAAAGGGAUUCCAAGCCAAACUAAACCUGAGACUCUGUAGCCGUUAGGUCUGUGAUUUGGAGAGAAGCAAAUGCUACUUAGUUUCUAACUUUAGUCUUUGUUUUUUCCUGCUUCUAGAUUACGUUGCCUUGUUCAGCACCAAAUGUCACGGAUGUGACUUCCCUGUUGAAGCAGGAGAUAAAUUCAUCGAAGCCCUUGGACACACCUGGCAUGACACCUGCUUCAUUUGUGCUGUGUGCCAUGUGAAUUUGGAAGGGCAGCCCUUUUAUUCAAAGAAGGAUAAGCCGCUGUGCAAGAAGCACGCGCAUGCCAUCAACGUCUAAAGGAAGAGCGGGAGACUUGACACCAAAGGGAAAAGACGAGGGGUUGACUCAACAAAUGAAAUAUAGAUAACUAUGGAUUUGUCAAGGUGGGGAGGGUCAGGGAAUGAAUUAUGAUCACUUCUGAAGCUGAAUUCAGUUGCUUUUAUAUGUGCAGAACUUACUCUUGUACACUUCCUAAAAAAAGUGAACGCAUAUUCAAAACUUGACAGUUGCUGCAAAGGUUUGAGCAAAACGAACCAAAAAAAAGAAGGAAAAAAAAGAAAAAAAUCUAAAAGUAAUAUAUGUAAUUACAAAUAUACAUCUAUAUUGUGUUCACCAGGGCAAACUUUAGGAUAACGCUAUACAAUCAUGCUUCAAAAAAUGAAUAUAUAGAAACCAUUAUUGUAUUAUGAUAACAACUCAAAAGUGCCAAAACUUGGUCUGUAGCAAUGAGUGAAGUGUUCCUCACAAGCAGACGGAAUUGUGUUUCAUCAUUAACGUCCUAAUCAUUCAUCUUCUGCAUACCAGAUGUUCUACAGGCUUUAUACAAUAGAGACAUAAUGAAAGCACUGCCGCUGGCUUACCCACUUGAGGCUUGAAUCCGGGCACAUCCAAAGGGCAGUCGCACAGUGGGAUGGGGCGUGCUUCCUUUUGGGAUGGCCAUCGCCAUGGUACCCUGGUUAGCUGUAUAUAGAUAGGGAACCCAUGCAAGCUGGACCGGCGGCAGGAUUCUUCCCUACAGGGAGGUGGCGCCAUCUCCCAGUUGGCGUAUGUGGCGAAAUGUAUCACCUCAUUGGUUCAACUCAUGUGACUGUUUGUCCUCACCUGAUUGGAGCAAUGGAAGCCCAUCCCGAGGAAGCAGUGUGUUUCACACUGCUGGAGGGUCAACUUGCCCUGCUUUGGAAGAAUUGGAGCUAAAUGCAGCUGUGUUUUGCACACCGCCAGGGCUGCCGCAGGGCCAUUGAGGUUGUGAUGGGUGUGUGAAUAUUGGCCCCCUCUGGAUGUUUGCCUCCCAAGAAGAAGAGUGGCGACAGGGUGGCGACGGUGUAAGGGAAGCCCAUACGGUCAGCUCUGUCCAAACGGUGGUGGUAUCCCUAUACAGUAUCUAUCUGAAGAUCAAUCCUGGAGCCCUGGGGGACAGGCCCAUUGGAAGUGGCCCCUGCCAGGCUCUGGGUGCAAGUGAAGGAACGUGUUUUUGGUGGUGGUUGUGAGAAGAGAAAAAGGAGUUAGCUGACAGUAAUUCCUGCCGGCAAAGGCAAAGCAUCAGAGCACGCGUAUCAUCAAUGAGUUAGAGUGAAUCUCAUCCACAGGGAACUAGUUUUCUCCAGGUUGAGGUUACAUAAGGAAAGAGGAAGAGCUUGAAAGGAUCCAUGCCGUGUUCAUCCGUGUACUUGAGUCGCUUUUUCUCUUACACGUUUGUGCUUUCAUCUUGGGGGUUGAGGGAAUAUCUAGUACAGACCUGCCCAGCCUGGAGUCUUCCAGAUGUGUUGGAAUACAAUGCACAUCACCCCAGCUUGCAUAGCCAUUGGGUGGAAAUGACGGGAAUUGCAGCCCAUCACAUUUUGAGGUCUCCAGUUUGGGAAAGUGUGAUCUAGAACAAAAAUAGAAUUGGGAGUAGCCAGGGGAAGGGUGGGUUCCAUUCUUAUUUUGAUGCCUUUGGUGCUGAGGUACCUUGUUUCUGCUAAAACUGAUAACCAUUCACAGGUGGCCUUGGCCAACAGGCAUACCCAGUUGUAAACUGUGAUUAGAUCCUCUAGAUAAAGGCAUCUCUGAAGUGUGAUUGAGUUUGCUGUCACAAGGAAAUAAAGCCUUUGGAGUUCAGAGUGGUAUUAGUGCCACUUCCCCCAACCUAGUGCUGGACUAUGACUCCCAUCAUCCUUAGCCAGCUUGCCCAUGGUAGGAAUUGUAGUUCACCUCUACACCAGGGAAGCCACCAGGUUGGGGGAUGCUAUAUUAGUUCAACACCCUUUUUUCUGUUUUUGAACAAAUUUUUAAUAUCUCAGCAAGUACUUCUUGGAGCUUUCUGUAUUGUUGCGACUGGAUGCAUGUAUUUAUUCUAGCUAUAGGUUUGGAUAUUUAAACAGUGAGUAUCAAGUGAUUGUUUUAAAUGAUAAGGCAGUGGUUCACGUUUGCUCAGAGGAACGUUCUUAUCUGUGAUCCAAACAUGGAAAGAUCCACCUUUUCACAGUUGCUCAUUUGAGUGAACAAAAAGUUGUAAAGCCGAAGUCAUUUACUGCAUUACUGGGAACGCUUUAUACUCUCUAGCAAGUGGCUUCAGCAUUAAACCCUCUGUAUUUCUAUUUAUAAUAACAUAUGCUAUUUACUAUUCAUCGUAGGAAAAAAAUCAAAGCUGUUUACCGUUUGAGCCCUGUUGGUGGAUAUACCCAGUUAAGUGGGUUUUAUAUUAACAAUGCAGUGGCCCAAAAGUCCAGCUGCAUGGAAAAUAUUGGGUCCCUCUUGGAACACUAUGCCCUUAUUUUAAGAAAUAUGCAAUGUGAAGCUGUAUUAAAACUGUUUGGAGAAAUGUUGGGCAUAUAUAUGCUUUACUAUCUAGCUGAAAUUAACCGGACAUAAAAGUGGUUAACUUUGGCUGGAUCCAGGCCUGGUUUUGUUUUGCUUUUUUCUGAGAGGGAAGGGCAUACCAAACAUUCACAUUUCUAGUACUGCAGAUUUUGUUCCUUCUACUCAAAUCAUAUUUUGGAUAGUUAAGCAUAGCUGCCCUUUGCUAUAGAUGCAAGCAUAGCACUUUAAUUCUUAUGGAUCUUGUCAUUUUAACAAGGACGGCAUUUUAUUCUAUUGGUGUAAUGGGUUAUUCGGAAAAAGAACCAGUAGCAUUUUAGUCAAACUUUUUGGGGCUUGGUUGUUUUCUCUUUACAUUUUUGGAGCUAGUGUCUUAAGGAGAAAAUUAGAGCGGCUGGUAGCAGCGAGGUUGACUAUGAUAUGUAGAGUCAACACUGCACAAAGGGUGCUCCACUCCACCGUUUGAGCUGGCACCCUCUACCCGUACUGGGACAGUGAGCGCGCUGGGUCAUUCUGCAGCAGAGUGCCAAUAAAACCCUACAGUAGAUCACGGAAGGACUGUACUGGGAGAAGGCAUGGUUGUGAUUUAUGGGGCUGGUUCACACGAUCCAAAUAAGCCUUGGUAGGUGAUUGGAAGGUUGUCAUUCCCUCCAGCAGGUCAUGGUACCCGGCUUCAGAUGACAUGACAAGCUGUGCCCAGGCAGUGGAAAUAAUACCCAGCAUGCACCACCAUUUAAAUAAGCCACUGUGGCCAGGCAGAGGCUGUUGUGGCAGAAUUUUCUGCAUAAAUACCGGCUCUGCUCUAGUGUAAAUGCUCUACUUGGGGGAGCAGUAUUAUGGGGAAGGGAGACACUCCCUGGAGAUCGUGGUUAGUCUUCCGCAAUUAGAAAACUGCCAUGAAGGAGGAGACAAAGGUCUUCCAGGAGUCCUGUCCUUGCACGUCACACUGUUCAUGCAACUGUUUGCAUGAACUGUUCUUUGUUACAUGCAAGCCUCCCAGAAUAGCAUCUGCAGUGCUUCCUGCAGCCAAACAGAUGCAGGUAGGAUCAAGUCUAGUCUUUUAAGAAAAAGAAUAUGCAUACCUAAUAGGGCCCAAAGUAGUAAGAUGUAGUGGGAAAACACACACUCGGCAGGUUUGGUGAUGUGCUGUCUUUGUGAUCCUUAACAAUUACCUAUGUUAAUGCUAAAAUUAUCUUAUUACUAUUUUGCUUCACCAGAAAGAGUAGUGGCGAUUUUUGCCUUUCGUAAAAAUCAAACACUGUACCUGUGAAUGACCAAAUGAUAAAAACUGUUAAACCAUUUCAGGGGAUUUGAUUAAUUAUAUCAGUGACAUGUAGCCAAACAUGGCUGCAAUUCUUUUAUUUGAACCUGAAAUUGUUUAAAACAUUCUGGCUGCAAUCCACAUCCUACUGAAUUAUGUGGCAAAACUGAUCUAUUUUAAUGGUUCUGGAUUGCACCCUCUUUAGUUCGCUUUUAAAUCUUUCUGUUUGCCUCAAGGAAAAUAAAUUUCUGUAACUUGCAAUAAUUCAGGAAAGAGUUCCACCCAAAACAAUUUAGCAUUGAACCCUGCAAAAUAAUCAAGUUUUCAAAAAAAUAAAAUAAAAUCAGUACACGUAAGCACAACUGCACGACUUUGGUCCUUCAGCGGUCAGUAGCUUUGAUGAAACGUUUAUUUCAGAGCUUUCUCUGUAUUCAAUAAUGGCAGUGUUACAACACACACGACGAAUCGCAUCUGCUGCAAGGCCGUGGAAGACCCUGUAGUGGAUGCAAUAUGUCAUGAAAACAAUUGACGGUAGCGUUUACAACUGUGUGAUUUCUGCUCCUUAACAACACACCAGGCUUCUUGCUUUUUAAAGAUACGAAAAUACCGACUUGAUGCCACAAGUGACCUUUACUUUUGCUUAGGGUUUUCAUUGAAUCACCUAGGUUUUUAUUUCAGCUGCUCCAUGUAAUGUGUGAUUUUGUGAGGUGUGAGUGACUAUACCUUGCAUGGAUUAUUUGUGCCAACACAAAUAAAAUAUUCUACCCCCAA